GGUAAUCGGGUUGGUUGCUAGGGCGGUUGCUAAGGUAUCCAGGGUGGUUGCUAAGGUGUUGCUAUGCGGUUGCUAGGGUAUCCAGGAUGGUUGCUAGGGUGUUGCUAUGCGGUUGCUAGGGUACUUGGGCUGGUUGCUAAGGUGUUGCUAUGCGGUUGCUAGGGUAUCCAGGAUGGUUGCUAGGGUGUUGCUAUGCGGUUGCUAGGGUACUCGGGGUGGUUGCUAGGGCGGUUGCUAAGGUACUUGGGCUGGUUGCUAAGGUGUUGCUAUGCGGUUGCUAGGGUAACCGGGGUGGUUGCUAGAGUGUUGCUAUGCGGUUGCUAGGGUACUCGGGGUGGUUGCUAGGGCGGUUGCUAGGGUACCCAGGGUGGUUGCUAAGGUGUUGCUAUGCGGUUGCUAGGGUACUCGGGGUGGUUGCUAGGGCGGUUGCUAAGGUACUUGAGGUGGUUGCUAAGGUGUUGCUAUGCCGUUGCUAGGGUAUCCAGGGUGGUUGCUAGGGUGUUGCUAUGCGGUUGCUAGGGUACUUGGGGUGGUUGCUAGGGCGGUUGCUAAGGUACUUGGGGUGGUUGCUAGAGUGUUGUUAGGCAGUUACUAGUUGUCACAGAUCAUUACUAUGGAGUUUUAUAGAGUUCUUAACCUGAUUUAACGCUUAGCUAAUCACUAUUAGCAUGUAGCUAUUCACUGCUAGCAUGACUAGCAUCUUAAGGAUUCCUAUUUGCUAGCAUGAAUCAAAAGAACCAAGUCCCAUGUCUGUACGAUGUUCUGAUGUAGAGAUAUAGGACUUGCUAGAUGGUUGCUAGGGUACUCUGUUUGGUUGCUAGGGAGUGGCUUGGCAGCUACCAAUGAUGACACUCCAAAGGCUGCUUGCCACUAUGAAUGAUAUAAAUCAACCUCCAUGUCUCUAUGACAUUCAGAUUUGAAGAUAUGUCUGGGUGGGUUUUGGUUGCUAGGGUGCUCGAUAGUGGUUGCUAGGGAGUGGCUAGGAAGUGGUGGAGCUGAUUCAUGAUUGGCUGUUUACUGCCCUGAGUCAAAUGAGCCCACCCCCAUGUCUCUAUGACACUGUGAUCCAAAGAUAUUCAUCUGGGCUUUUAUAAUGGCAGUCUAUGGGAUCAGUUGCUAGGGUACUCUGUUUGGUUGCUAGGGAGUGGCUUGGCAGCUACCAAUGAGGAGACUCCAAAGGCUGCCUGCCAGUAUGAAUGAUAUAAACCAACCCCCAUGUCUCUAUGACAUUCAGGUUUGAAGAUAUGCCUUUUCAGGUUUGGGUUGCUAGGGUGCUCGAUAGUGGUUGCUAGGGCGUGGCUAGGAAGUGGUGAAGCUGAUUCAUGAUUGGCUGUUUACUGCCCCGAAUCAAAUGAGCCCACCCCCAUGUCUCUAUGACACUGUGAUCCAAAGAUAUUCAUCUGGGCUUUUAUAAUGGCAGUCUAUGGGAUCAGUUGCUAGGGUGCUCUAAAUGGUUGCUAGGGCGUGGCUUGACAGCUUAUCGGUGAUCCUGAGAGUCUGAUUGGUUGUCUGAGUUAAAUGAGCCCUCCCCCAUGUCUCUAUGACAUUGUGAUGCAGAGUUAUGUUCAAUGCAAAAUUCCUAUGUAAAUUACCAUAGUAGGAAAAACACAUGCUUUUCAUGGGCCGUCCCUCCCCAUAGUAUGUCAAUGGGGCCACUUUGGGGGGCUCUUGCGCCCCAGGGGUACAACUUAUACCCCAUUGCGAGGUAUGUUCUCGCACAGCUUGCGAGCCUCUCCAGAUAUGGCGAAUCGCAUGUUUCUACGAAAUUCUCGCUCGGCGCUACGACCCGUCAAAGUUUGCCGCAAUGUUAAGUCUAUGGGAAUUUUUCGGCUGGUUUUUCGCCCAUGGGGCGAACAUCGUACACCCGAUCGCUUAUAAAAGUCAUAGCACACCAUUCCCGAAUAGGCCGCACAAUUUGACACCCGUUUCAUAGGUCUAUGACAAACGGUGCGGGACGAGUUACGCGCCGAAAUUGUGUACGGAAGAAAAAU